rnacentral:rRNA from 1 species
CCUACGGGAGGCAGCAGUGGGGCAUAUUGCACAAUGGGGGAAACCCUGAUGCAGCGACGCCGCGUGAGUGAAGAAGUAAUUCGUUAUGUAAAGCUCUAUCAGCAGGGAAGAAAAUGACGGUACCUGAGUAAGAAGCCCCGGCUAACUACGUGCCAGCAGCCGCGGUAAUACGGAGGGGGCAAGCGUUAUCCGGAUUUACUGGGUGGAAAGGGAGCGUAGACGGCAGUGCAAGUCUGGAGUGAAAGGCGGGGGCUCAACCCCCGGACUGCCCUGGAAACGGUACGGCUGGAGUGCAGGAGAGGUAAGUGGAAUUCCUAGUGUAGCGGUGAAAUGCGUAGAUAUUAGGAGGAACACCAGUGGCGAAGGCGGCUUACUGGACUGUAACUGACGUUGAGGCUCGAAAGCGUGGGGAGCAAACAGGAUUAGAUACCCCUGUAGUC